rnacentral:lncRNA from 1 species
UCGGACCUUGAGAUCGAUCGCGAAUUUCAGGUCAACAGGAUCAAAGCCUGCCCUAUCUCCUGAUGAUGCCUUUCCGCAUAUGUUUUACAAUAUUGAAAGUUUAACUUGUUCCAUUGCUCUUCAGAAUGUUUCGCUAAUUUUCUGGUGUUGCCUUCACUUGUUCCAUUGCCCUUCAGAAUACCUUGCCGGUUUUUUAUUGGCGCUUCGGGCAGGUGGACGAGUAAUGAUGCCGAUCUCCCUGGGACUUUAACUCGAAGACUUAUAUUUUUCAUGAGAUCGGCAUAUAAUAUCUGAGCUCGUUCGUAUGUAUCGUAAAUCACACCUCAAGACGGAGCUUAGCCGGCUUACGAAGUUGAUUUUCCGAACUAUAAGAAUUCCUCUGAAUCGAAAGCUAAGAUAGUGGGGUAGGCGAUAGUGAUGUAAACGUAGAUGAUGAUGUAUCUGGGCAUGUAAAUCCUUUAAGGAUAGCCUUUUAUCCCGUAGUGUUGGUAUUUGUGACAUGCU